GUGGGCGUGCAGGCCCCUCAGCAUCCUGCAUGGUGGGGAGCUGGCCAUGCUGUCACUACCACCUUCGGGAGACAUCUGAACCAGAAUGUGUUACCUGUCCUCACUGUGUGUGGCCAAGUUUGCCAUAGACCCCAGACGUGUCAGGACUGCAGACAGCAGCUCACAGCUUCACAGCUAGGCCCCCAGGCAACAGUGACCCCCCUCCCUCUGGGUGGUGCAGGACAGGGACUGCCUUCCCUCCAGGUGGUGCAGGACAGGGAGCUCCUUCUCUCCGGGUGGUGCAGGACAGGGAGCUCCUUCUCUCCGGGUGGUGCAGGACAGGGAGCUCCUUCCCUCCAGGUGGUGCAGGACAGGGAGCUCUGUCUAGUCUUCCUCAGCCCUAGGACAUCUAGCGUCAAGUGGGCAGUGGCCCAUCCUCGAAGAGGCUGUCCCCAGACAAGGGACAGGCCCACGUUGUGCACAGAUCACCUCCAGCUCCCUGCUCUGCUCCAGGACGCACCAGCCACAGAGCAGGACUUGCAUCGACAGCUCCAGUUCCAGCCGCAUGGUCCUGUUGUCCAACCCAUGCCCACAAGGCCUUGCUCUCACUCACACACUCCAGUCCAGUCCCUAUGGAGCAGCCCUGGCAUGUGGGACCCCUCGGUGCCCUGAACCUCUGGGCCAUCAGGGGCAUGCAGGAUGAGCUGCCUCCCUCAGGAGACGCACUGCAAAGGGGAGUGCUGGAGGCCCACCCAGAAUCUGCCUCCAGCAGCCGUCCCCACACCCAGCAAACUCUCCUGAGAGUGGCCAGUGAGCACCUGCAGUGCUGGGGACCAGAAGUGGCCAAAGUUUCAGGAAGGGCUGACUCGCUGGGACGCUGUUCCCUUCUGAAGCUGUGUGACCAAACACCACAAGCCACGUGUUCCCCGCUCUGCACGGCUGCUUGGGCCCCGGACAGCUCAGGGUGUCGGCAAUCCAGACCCGUGCUGCUGUGGCUGGCUUCUGAGAUACUGGCCCCUUGGGGGUCUCGGAGUUCCCAGCUGAGCCACUGCUGACCCCCAUCCCGGUCUGGACACAAGCACAGAGAAGAGCCAUGUCCCCCCGGCAGCGUGCCUGUUAAGGCACCGUGUUGGCCACGGUGUCCCCAUCUCAGGCAGGUGACACGAGCCUCCCACUUCUGUGUAAGGGAAGCCCUGACGUGGACAGAAGACCCCUCCCGCGACUGCGAGGGGCUGCUGGCUGCCCCACCGCACCCAGCCCUCCUGGCCACAGAGCCCCGCAGAGCCCGGCGGCGGCGGACCGGGUGCCAGGCCUGCGUGCGGUGGGCGGUGCGCAGCCCGCAGCUGCUGGAAUCUCUGAG
rnacentral:lncRNA from 12 species